GAGAAGAAGAAUGAUUUUGAGAGUUUGAGGCAGAGUGGAAAGUCUGUCAGAGAGUAUGAGCAUGAGUUUCGCCAGCUUCACAGGUUUGCGGGAAUUGGUAUGGAUGAGGAGGAUCUUAUCAGGAGGUUCUUAAAAGGAAUGCGAGUAGAACUUCACGGUAGGUGCAGUAUGGUCACCUAUACCAGUUUGGAGGAUCUGGUAUAGAAGGCCGUUGUGCAAGAGAAAUGUAUUGCAGCGGGGCAGAAGUUCAACAAGGCAGCUCAGCAUAAGUCUGAAGGAGCUUCAGAGUCACAUAAGAGGACAUGGGAUCGGCCGAGUAUCCAGUGUCAUAAUUGUGGGUUGUUCGGGCAUGUUUCUAGAAAUUGCCGAAAGCCACUAGUUACCCAGUUUAUAGCGCCAGCAGCACCAGUAGCAGCAACUAGGAACUGUUAUGGUUGUGACCAGCCAGGUCAUAUCUUCAGAGAUUGCCCGAGGAGGGGCAAUGCAGCACUUCCACCACCACCGAAGCGCCUAGCCAUCGCUCCACGUGUGUUCACGGUUGGAGAUGCCCAGGGAGCCGAGCCGAUAGCGGGUAUGCAUCUUAUUCAUACUACUUGUGUUUGAAUAUUGUGGUCUCGUAAUUAUCUGUGUAGUUAGCAAAAAUCUCGUAUAGUUCGGUUUUGGUUAAAAGUAAGUUAGUUCGCAUCUUGUUCGACACGGAGCUUCCCACAGAAUUGUGAGUUCACAUGUGGUCAAGUCUUAGCAUUUUCAGUGUAUCUUUAAAAGAAGACAAAGAGGAUUUGAGAGCAAUCAGUAUUCAUCGCGAUGUACCAGUUGUCUUUCGAGUAUUAAGAUGGCAUCGUAUGAAGUCCUUUACAACAAGUUUUAUUACACACCGCUUUAUUGAAGACAAAAGUGGGGGAGCGACGUGAGGUAGAAACCGCAAUGGAUCAAGAGAUGGUAGAGCAAAUGAACGUGCUCAAGUUUGGCCUUGGGAAGGCCAUGACCGUGAAAAAAAAGUUAUGCAUAUAUGCGUCGUAAGGAUUUGGAGUUUCAGGCGAGUGAAUGAAUAUAUCUAAAAUGAAGACAUUUCAAGGAGGAGCUAAGACACAAAAGUUGAUGAAGCUUAAACCGAAGUACAUGUUAUCAUAUCUUAUUUUUGGAGCGGAUUGGAGCAGUUCUUAGAGAUUGGAUUUAUCGGCAGAGUUAUCUGACUUCCACGAUGUGUUUCAUGUUUCCGUUUUGAGAAAAGUUGUUAGAGAGCCAGAGCUCAUUUUGCAGCAGCCACCAAGUGAUCUUGGCAAGAAUUUAUGUGCGCCUUGUCAGCCAGUGGAGAUUUUGGAUCGCCAAGUGAAAGCAGUUAAGGGAAUGAUGACCAUGUUGGUCAAGGUUCGUUGGGAGUCUGAGCCUCAGAUGAGGAUUGAUUAUCCAGAGCUGUUUCAGGAUGGUGUUGGACAGUCAGCGGACGACUCGAAUUCGAGGACGAAUUCUUUAUUAGUGGGGGAGAAUUGUAACGACCCGAUUUCGGCCACAGAGUUCGUUAGCAUGCUAACGCCCAUGCACUCACCCAAAGAGAGAGAGUCGCCUGAGGUCGUCGCCGGAGCCACCGUGUCCAGUGAUCUCGUCAAGCUCAUCACCACCUUUCGUUGUAGUCGGUAAGCGCCGGAAACCGCCAUGCAUUUGAGUUUAGUUUCGUGCGUUUAGUAAAUCGUCCAUAACUUUCUAACAGUUGCGAAUCUCGUGCAUGCAAACCCACCAUCGUGUUCCUCUCGUCGAGACGAAUCCGUAGACACCAGAAUCGCCAUAAUCGGAGCUCAGACGAAGCCGUACGCGCCCUCCAAAGUUUCGCCGGAAAUCGUCUCCGCCACCACCGGACCACCGCUUCGCCGCCGCCGGAAAUCGUCUCCGCCGCCGGCCACCGCCGUUCUCCGCCGCCAGCCACCGUCUUCCUCCGACGCCGCUCCGCCGUCCUCCGCCGGUAAGCCACCGCCGCCCUCCGCCGUCGCCGCCGUUGACCGCCACCGGUGACUCGCCGGCGACUCGGCCAACUCGGCUGAGUCGACCCGGUGAGUCAACUCGGUGACUCGGUUAACCGGUCGGUUUGAUUGGUUUAAAUCAAUUGCGAUUUGGUUAGGGUUGGUUAGCGUAAACCAUCGGUUAAAAUCAAUUCGAAAUCGGUUAAGGAAAACCAAUUGGUUAAAUCAAAUUGAUUUCUGGUCAAGGGUUGACCGGGUUGACCUUUGACCAGCGGAUUGACUUUUCCGUAGACUUUGACCAGACCCGUUUUGAGUCGUUCGAAAGGCGUUUUGACUCGAAUUUUCGCCGUGGUUUCAGAUUUGGAGUCUAUUUGAGCAGCUGGAGUUCAUAGAUACCACUUCUCUUCAUUUGCUAAGGUGAGGGCUACUCCGUUUAAAUCCCGAGCUAGUUUAGUACUGCUAUUAUGAAAAGUUUAGUUUCGAAACAUGAUAGUCUCUGUGAAUCGAGUCUGUUUGAGUUUGUUUGAGAGUCUUGCGUGUUCAUAAUUGUUAUUGAUUGUUAAACCGGAAAUAGGAUAAUAGAGGAUUCAACGGUUGUGUGAAAUGUUUGAUGCUGAGAACUGUUAUAUAUGUAUGUAUAUAUAUAGUUAUAUAGUAGGGACUAUGUGAUUGUGCGGGGGUUCGGAGAUGUCCGAGCUAUCGACGCAGCGGGAUUUGUGCGGGGGCCCAGAGACGUCUGAGCUAGCGACGCAGCGGGAUUUGUGCGGGGGUACAGAGACGUUUGUACUAGCGACGCAGCGGGUGGUUGUGCGGGGGUACAGAGACAUACUGUACUAGCGACGCAGCGGUUAUCUAUAUCCUUAUGAGGAGAUGCGUGGUGCAGAGAGUAGCUGUGUACUAUAAGCGCAUGGGUUGUAGUUGGAUAGUUUUCUAGUCGCUUGUUGAUUGUUCUUUGUGGUGUAGACACCGUGUUUGUUUCAUGCUAGAGCUAGGCCUACAUAAUCGUAGUGCUAUGCACUGAGUCAGUGGUUUGCGGUUUAGCAUCCCAUACCUCACUGAGCGACUCCCCUGUUGCUCACCCCUCUUUCUUUCUCCUUUCAGGUGAGACCGAUGAGUAGGAGUGAUCAUAUCGGACUAGUGCUACUAUUUGGGCUCGUGGGCUUUAUCGUUUUAUCGUUUUAUCUUUUUAUCGUUAUUGGGCCUUUAGGCCUUCGGACUUAUAUCGUUUCCGCUACUUCCUAUUUUCAGACCUUCGGGCUUAUGUUGUUAUUUAUAUUUCGGAUGUUUAUUUUCGGAUUUGACUUUAUGGUAUGACGUGGAUUUUA